AUGCAGCGGUGCUGCUUGUGGAGCUAAACGGCAGUGGCUGCUUGGGUGUCUUGCAUAUGCAGGUCCCCCUUAAAUGUGCGCAGUGUUUGGUGGGAAUUCCUCGUAGCGCUUUUUUUGUGCAGUUGGCCAGGGGCUCCCUCCCUCCUGCUUCUGCUACCCCUCCCCCUCUGCACCUCCUCGCAGCCUGGAGAUCCCCUGCCCGCUUCUGCCGAAGCCCUGCUGGCCGCAGGAGCGGAGCGUUACGGCACUCCGCACCAAAAGGACGACGCGGACGCGGCGGACGCGCGGCAUAGAGGACGACACGUCACACGAGCUGCACAUCCUCUCGUGCGGUGGGCAUCUAGAGGAGAAAGGUGCAGCAGAACGAGCUCCAUCAGCCCCCGGGAGAAGGGGGGAGGGUUCCGGAGCUCCGUUCUCGACUCUUCAGCUCAAAAAGACCGAUAAGGACGCGGGCUGCCGUCAUUAACGACCAUCCAGCACGUAUUAGAGCGCGUGGUGUGAAGCUGCUCUGCAAGAAAUCUGCUUACUGCUGCUAAAUCAGCUCGCGCUGGCUCUUUUUUCUCCUAAUUCCACGUGGAGAUCUCCGUUGUGCUACGUAAGAGCCAAGGAGAGCUGCAGAGAUUUGGCGCCACUUUCAAACCUGAGCUCGGCUUUCAGUCACACUCAACAGAGAAGGAGAGGAGGAAAACAGACAAGAACGCGUUUCGCUUUCGCUUAGAAAAAGAAAAGACAGCAUUCGCAGCCAGGACUGUUUAUUCUCUAGGAAUCUGGGUUGGAGAUUGCGAAAAGCGUCCACGCGCUGACCACACCAGGCCCACUAUCUAAAAAUCUAAAGAAAGGAUACGCAAAGCUCCGGACUCGCUUCUUGAAAACAAGACCAAAUGCUCACGCAAACCACACAGGCCUGUUCAUUCAGCCCGCCUGGUCCUCGGCUGCCGGUCUCAUGUUGGCCUUAAGCUGGAGCGCAGGGGAGAGGCGCUGCAGCGAGGCGCCCACUCGGUGAACUUAAUCCAUCCUGACCAGAGCAGGAGGGGGAGCUUUGGAGAGCGAGCAGGAGGACGGCCAUAACAACAGCACUAAUAAUCCUCCAGGACGGAGCCAAAUGGAAACUAAAUCAACACAGUCGCAUUAAUAAUUUCAUUAGGCCUUGUUAUGGUUAAUAUGCGAGUGUAAUCUUUUAGAAUCCCUCAUGGCUGCACAAUUGCACAUUUCCUGCUCCAAACUCGACGCGGUGCGCUGUAAGAGGGAAAGCAAGUUUACAGGCCGCGGCUGUGGCAGCCAGAGCAGCGGCUAAACAGUGGUUUCUACAUGUCUGAUGGGCAGGAGCUUAGCCCUGGCAGAAUUACAGUGAAGAAAAAAUGGAAUAAAACAUACUUGGGAUAUUAACAACCUUAAAAUAUAUCCGUCUACAGCCCUUACGUAAACCACAGUCUUGGCAACUGCUGGGGAACGCCGAGUAUUUCUAACUACACUAAUGUGUUUAAAAAGACGACUUUGUGCUUGUAGCCUACAUUUUUUCUAACGAUCCCCGCGUUUCACACAUUAUCAGUUGGAGACAACCUGUUGGUCCGGUUUUCCGGACGCGGUGAGCUCCAGCGAAAAGAUUAUUUAGACUAGGACUUGGACUAGGACACUUCAUCUGCAGGAUGUUCUUCAAGGAACCAAUAAGUGACCAAUAAAUAUUUCCAAUAUCAAUAACCAUGUGAGGGAGAAAAUGAAGAGAACGAUCGAUACAAAAUACCGAAAGCAACAUUCACAAAAAUAUGAAAGAUAAAAACUAAAAAGCGUGAUGAUAAAAUGCCGCAGCUUACUCUGCCUAAUAAAACAACCUUGUUAUGAAUAUGAGCACAGGCAUGUAAUGUAUUUGAAACGAAGAGGAAGAUUAGGGUGAGACACGCACGGAGCCACUGCGUGGACUCUGCUGACGGGCUUUUCAUACGCAGAGCAUCGCUUUCACAAACAUGUAGGCCUGCAGUUGCAGACUGUUAAAAGUGGGAACAUUUUUUCUGUCCUGGUCAUUAAAUCCAGCAGUGCUGGUACACCUCCACCACUCUUACAGUAUGGUCCAGUGUGGUCGUCACCCUGCGCUCAGCCCACCAGGUGAAGUCACACUGUAGUGCAGCCCAAAGCGCCCAACACCUUCACACUCUGCGCGGAGCCCUAAUAUCACUGAGCUCCUCGGCGUUAAUGCCAUUCCUAGCGUGUUUUGUCACUCUUUCCAGGUUAAAGAUGACAUAACCUGUUGUUGGGCCUGCAACACACGAACUUUAGUCAUUACACAUUUUUUCCUCUCUUUAUAAAAGCUCUUGUAACUAAA